rnacentral:rRNA from 1 species
UACGUAGGGUGCGAGCGUUAAUCGGAAUUACUGGGCGUAAAGCGUGCGCAGGCGGUUCGUCGUGUCCGAUGUGAAAGCCCCGGGCUCAACCUGGGAAUGGCAUUGGAAACUGGCGGACUCGAGUGUGGCAGAGGGGGGUGGAAUUCCGCGUGUAGCAGUGAAAUGCGUAGAGAUGCGGAGGAACACCGAUGGCGAAGGCAGCCCCCUGGGCUAACACUGACGCUCAUGCACGAAAGCGUGGGGAGCAAACAGG